rnacentral:rRNA from 1 species
UACAGAGGUCCCAAGCGUUGUUCGGAUUUACUGGGCGUAAAGGGCGCGUAGGCGGCCAGCACAAGUCAGUUGUGAAAUCUCCGGGCUUAACUCGGAAAGGUCAACUGAUACUGUGCGGCUAGAGUGCAGAAGGGGCAACUGGAAUUCUCGGUGUAGCGGUGAAAUGCGUAGAUAUCGAGAGGAACACCUGCGGCGAAGGCGGGUCUCUGGACAGUUCCUGACGCUGAGGCACGAAGGCCAGGGGAGCAAACGGG